CCAGACUCCUACGGGAGGCAGCAGUGGGGAAUAUUGCACAAUGGGGGAAACCCUGAUGCAGCGACGCCGCGUGGAGGAUGGAGGUUUUCGGAUUGUAAACUCCUUUUGUUAGAGAAGAUAAUGACGGUACCUGAAGAAUAAGCUCCGGCUGACUACGUGCCAGCAGCCGCGGUAAUACGUAGGGAGCAAGCGUUAUCCGGAUUUACUGGGUGUAAAGGGCGUGUAGGCGGGCUUGCAAGUCAGAAGUGAAAUCUGGGGGCUUAGCUCCCAAACUGCUUUUGAAACUGUGGGUCUUGAGUGAUGGAGAGGCAGGCGGAAUUCCCAGUGUAGCGGUGAAAUGCGUAGAUAUUGGGAGGAACACCAGUGGCGAAGGCGGCCUGCUGGACAUUAACUGACGCUGAGGCGCGAAAGCGUGGGGAGCAAACAGGAUUAGAUACCCGCGUA
rnacentral:rRNA from 1 species